rnacentral:rRNA from 1 species
GUUGUAUGGUUAAGUGACUAAGCGUACACGGUGGAUGCCUGGGCAGUCAGAGGCGAUGAAGGACGUACUAACUUGCGAUAAGCGCAGAUAAGGCAGUAAGAGCCGUUUGAGUCUGCGAUUUCCGAAUGGGGAAACCCAACUGCAUAAGCAGUUACUGUUAACUGAAUACAUAGGUUAACAGAGCAAACCGGGGGAACUGAAACAUCUAAGUACCCCGAGGAGAAGAAAUCAACCGAGAUUCCGGUAGUAGCGGCGAGCGAACCUGGAUUAGCCCUUAAGCACUCGGUGAAGUAGGUGAACAAGCUGGAAAGCUUGGCGAUACAGGGUGAUAGCCCCGUAACCGACGCUUCAUCGAGCGUGAAAUCGAGUAGGGCGGGACACGUGAUAUCCUGUCUGAAUAUGGGGGGACCAUCCUCCAAGGCUAAAUACUCCUGACUGACCGAUAGUGAACCAGUACCGUGAGGGAAAGGCGAAAAGAACCCCUGUGAGGGGAGUGAAAUAGAACCUGAAACCGUGUACGUACAAGCAGUAGGAGCACCUUCGUGGUGUGACUGCGUACCUUUUGUAUAAUGGGUCAGCGACUUAUAUUCAGUGGCAAGGUUAACCGUAUAGGGGAGCCGUAGCGAAAGCGAGUCUUAACUGGGCGCUCAGUCUCUGGAUAUAGACCCGAAACCGGGUGAUCUAGCCAUGGGCAGGUUGAAGGUUGAGUAACAUCAACUGGAGGACCGAACCGACUAAUGUUGAAAAAUUAGCGGAUGACUUGUGGCUAGGGGUGAAAGGCCAAUCAAACUCGGAGAUAGCUGGUUCUCCCCGAAAGCUAUUUAGGUAGCGCCUCGGACGAAUACUGCUGGGGGUAGAGCACUGUUAAGGCUAGGGGGUCAUCCCGACUUACCAACCCUUUGCAAACUCCGAAUACCAGUAAGUACUAUCCGGGAGACACACGGCGGGUGCUAACGUCCGUCGUGGAGAGGGAAACAACCCAGACCGCCAGCUAAGGUCCCAAAGUAUUGCUAAGUGGGAAACGAUGUGGGAAGGCUCAGACAGCUAGGAUGUUGGCUUAGAAGCAGCCAUCAUUUAAAGAAAGCGUAAUAGCUCACUAGUCGAGUCGGCCUGCGCGGAAGAUGUAACGGGGCUAAGCAAUACACCGAAGCUGCGGCAAUGUCUUUUAGACAUUGGGUAGGGGAGCGUUCUGUAAGCCGUUGAAGGUGAAUCGUAAGGUUUGCUGGAGGUAUCAGAAGUGCGAAUGCUGACAUGAGUAACGACAAAGGGGGUGAAAAACCUCCUCGCCGGAAGACCAAGGGUUCCUGUCCAACGUUAAUCGGGGCAGGGUGAGUCGACCCCUAAGGUGAGGCCGAAAGGCGUAAUCGAUGGGAAACGGGUUAAUAUUCCCGUACUUCUGACUAUUGCGAUGGGGGGACGGAGAAGGCUAGGUGGGCCAGGCGACGGUUGUCCUGGUUCAAGUGCGUAGGCUUGAGAGUUAGGUAAAUCCGGCUCUCUCUAAGGCUGAGACACGACGUCGAGCUACUACGG